rnacentral:rRNA from 1 species
AACGAACGCUGGCGGCAUGCCUAACACAUGCAAGUCGAACGAGACCUUCGGGUCUAGUGGCGCACGGGUGCGUAACGCGUGGGAACCUGCCUUUAGGUUCGGAAUAACUCAGAGAAAUUUGAGCUAAUACCGGAUAAUGUCUUCGGACCAAAGAUUUAUCGCCUUUAGAUGGGCCCGCGUAAGAUUAGCUAGUUGGUGGGGUAAAGGCCUACCAAGGCGACGAUCUUUAGCUGGUCUGAGAGGAUGAUCAGCCACACUGGGACUGAGACACGGCCCAGACUCCUACGGGAGGCAGCAGUGGGGAAUAUUGGACAAUGGGCGAAAGCCUGAUCCAGCAAUGCCGCGUGAGUGAUGAAGGCCUUCGGGUUGUUAAAGGACUCUUUUGUUCUAGGGAAG